UCCAAAUGACAUGUAGCGCAAACAGAAUUUUUUAGAUAUGGACCCAAAGCAAGGUCAUAUAAUCCGCCGUUAGUAGGGUGAUUUAAAUUGUCAAGCAAAACGGGAUUUACGAUUUGUUUGACGGAUAUUUUUUCGACAUCGUCAACAUCGUAAAUCCCAAACUUCACACUUUUAAUCUCCGAAGAGACUGGCUGUGCAAUAUUCAUUGUACUAUUUUGCUUUUGUAUACAACCGGCACAUGCAAUCCGCCCACAGACCUAUUUGGUUCUGUAUGAAAAGA